rnacentral:tRNA from 1 species
GGCUGUAGUGUAGCUUGGUUGGAGCAAUUUAAUAGUUGUUUUGGAGUAAUAUCACUUAUCACUUGUGGUUCGGGGCCACACAACCUCGGUUCAAAUCCGGGCAGCCCCA